rfam:Ovis aries breed Texel chromosome 8, whole genome shotgun sequence.
UCCCUGGUGGCUCAGACGGUAAAGUGGCUGCCUGCAAUGCAGGAGACCUGGGUUCGAUCCCUGGGUUGGGAA